GAUGAACGCUGGCGGCGUGCCUAAUACAUGCAAGUAGAACGCUGAAGGAAGGAGCUUGCUCUUUCCGGAUGAGUUGCGAACGGGUGAGUAACGCGUAGGUAACCUGCCUGGUAGCGGGGGAUAACUAUUGGAAACGAUAGCUAAUACCGCAUAACAGUAGAUGUUGCAUGAUAUCUACUUAAAAGGUGCACUUGCACUACUAUCAGAUGGACCUGCGUUGUAUUAGCUAGUUGGUUAUGUAACGGCUCACCAAGGCGACGAUAGAGAACCAGCCUUGGAAGGGAGGCGGGCCACCUGGGACUGGAGCACGGGCCAAACUCCCAACGGGAGCAGCAGUAGGGAAACUUCGGGAAAGGACGGAAAUCUUACCGAACCACCCCGGGGGAGGGGAGAAGGUUUUCGGAUCGGAAAGCUCUGUUGAAAGAGAAGAACGAGAUGUAGAGUGAACAGUUCACACUGUGACGGUAUCUAAUCAGAAAGGGACGGCUAACUACGUG
rnacentral:rRNA from 1 species